rfam:Zootermopsis nevadensis contig37808, whole genome shotgun sequence.
GCCACGGUGGUCUAGCGGUUAGAACGCUGGCCUUGUAAUCCUGGGGUCUCGGGUUUGAUUCCCGGCGGUGCCC